GAAAACCAAAAUUUAUAACUAAGCUAAUAUUUUAAGGUAUAUAUUUCAUAUAAGAGGCUAUUCUAAGCACAAAGAUUUGAUUAACAACAAAUAUGUAUAUGAGAUAAAAUAAACUCGAAAGAACUCAAAAUAAUUCAAAAUAACUAAAACAUACUUAAUUACCGUGACUCAAAUCCCUAUUCUCUCCAUACAUUUUGAUGCAUCCCCGUUUGCAUUUCAUUAAGCUUUCCGGAAAUUUUGAAUAGGCUUCUUUGCAUCUUUUAAUACAUUCUUUCACCCUUCUUUUCCAAGCAGGAGGAGGAAAUUGAAGAACAGUCCCAUCAAAUUGAGCAAUGGUAUCAAUAAUGAUCAUUCCAAUCAUCAACAAUAAUACUAGUGUAUAUGCCUUCAUCAUCUCUCUCUCUUUCUCUAGUUUUUAUGAUAGAUUAGAUUUCAUAUAUAUAU
rnacentral:lncRNA from 1 species